rnacentral:RNase_P_RNA from 1 species
GUGCCAGGUAAUGCCUGGGAGGCGUGAGCCUACGGAAAGUGCCACAGAAAAUAACCGCCUAAGCGCUUCGGUGCCGGUAAGGGUGAAAAGGUGCGGUAAGAGCGCACCGCGCGACUGGCAACAGUUCGUGGCUAGGUAAACCCCACUUGGAGCAAGACCAAAUAGGGUCCCAAGGCGUGGCCCGCGCUGGGACCGGGUAGGUUGCUAAAGAUGUCCAGUGAUGGCCAUCGUAGACGAAUGACUGUUCAAGACAGAACCCGGCUUAUAGAUCGACUCUCCAC